rnacentral:rRNA from 1 species
GUAACAAGGUCUCCGUUGGUGAACCAGCGGAGGGAUCAUUGCUGGAACGCGCCCCAGGCGCACCCAGAAACCCUUUGUGAACUUAUACCUUACUGUUGCCUCGGCGCUAGCUGGUCCUCCGGGGCCCCUCACCCCCGGGUGUUGAGACAGCCCGCCGGCGGCCAACCCAACUCUUGUUUUUACACUGAAACUCUGAGAAUAAAACAUAAAUGAAUCAAAACUUUCAACAACGGAUCUCUUGGUUCUGGCAUCGAUGAAGAACGCAGCGAAAUGCGAUAAGUAAUGUGAAUUGCAGAAUUCAGUGAAUCAUCGAAUCUUUGAACGCACAUUGCGCCCUCUGGUAUUCCGGAGGGCAUGCCUGUUCGAGCGUCAUUUCAACCCUCAAGCCUGGCUUGGUGAUGGGGCACUGCUUCUUGCCCAAGAAGCAGGCCCUGAAAUUCAGUGGCGAGCUCGCCAGGACCCCGAGCGCAGUAGUUAAACCCUCGCUCUGGAAGGCCCUGGCGGUGCCCUGCCGUUAAACCCCCAACUUCUGAAAAUUUGACCUCGGAU